UUUUCUUCUACUGGAAGUAUCUUCUUUUCUUCUACUGGAAGUAUCUUCUUUUUUUCUUGGAAGCCAAUCCUCUCUUCCCACGAGAGCCAUUCUUGAAAAUCAUUUUCUUUUCCUCAUGCAAUUUUCUUUCUAUAAGUAUUUUCCCCUUUUUUGUAAGUUGAUUUCCUCUUCUUGUAGUUUAUUUUUUUCUUGAAAUUCGAUUUUCUUUUGAAGCUCGUAAACCCUAAUUACAAUUGUUGAUAUGUGUUUUUGUAUUGGUUUCGAGGCAAAGCUCAAUAUCGUAGCUCUGAUGAUAAUACCAGUCAUAGAGAAUGGAGAACCAGGAAACCAAGUUAAUAUAUUAUCACAUCACUAGAAUUUACCAAAAACUUUAGCAGAGAUGAUUACCAUGGAGAAGUUGCUUCAGUUCCUAGAUUCUGUUCCUUGUAAAAUCAGAGCAAAGCGAGGGUCUGCUACUCAUCCUCGUAGCAUUGCUGAAAUGGUGAGAAGAACUCGGAGUAGAGAAAGAAUGAUGAAAUUAUAAGAGCUUGUUCCAAACAUGGAUAAGCAAACCAACACAGCAGACAUGUUGGACUUAGUUGUUGAAUACAUUAAAGAUCUUCAUAAACAAUUUAAGUUUUAAAACUGCAAGAUGUUGUUCUCAAGGAUUUUAGCAGUUUUGGAAUUUUAUCAUACCAGUUGACAGAAUUUUUGAGAGAGAACCUAAGAAUGUAGUCGUCAACCCCUCCGCUAGGGUUUUGCUUCCACUGUCACGUUGAGCUAAGAGAACUUGUGCUCCAUCCCAUAGUUCAUCCUUAGAGCUGAUGCGCUCGUGGUCGUGCCGUCGGGGUCUUAGCUAAACUUUUCCAGAUGGGCGAGGUCCUCGUGGUCAACAAGGGAAUGGUGACUCCGCUGCUUAGCCAUCUAGGCUGGACUUUCCUUUUGUUUUAAGCUUUCUUUUGGGGGCCACGACCCAUGUAUUUGACUACCCACUAAACUUCUAUUUUUGUUUGGUUUCCUGUAUCUACUUAGUUAACGUCUUGGUAUGCCUUGUUUCAUCGGGAGGCGUUUUGUGGAAAACACAUAAGACUGCUGCUAUGCUAUUAUGUUGUGACAUUUUCUUUAA